rnacentral:rRNA from 1 species
AGUCGACGAUGAAGCCCUUCGGGGUGGAUUAGUGGCGAACGGGUGAGUAACACGUGGGCAAUCUGCCCUUCACUCUGGGACAAGCCCUGGAAACGGGGUCUAAUACCGGAUAACACUCUGUCCCGCAUGGGACGGGGUUAAAAGCUCCGGCGGUGAAGGAUGAGCCCGCGGCCUAUCAGCUUGUUGGUGGGGUGAUGGCCUACCAAGGCGACGACGGGUAGCCGGCCUGAGAGGGCGACCGGCCACACUGGGACUGAGACACGGCCCAGACUCCUACGGGAGGCAGCAGUGGGGAAUAUUGCACAAUGGGCGAAAGCCUGAUGCAGCGACGCCGCGUGAGGGAUGACGGCCUUCGGGUUGUAAACCUCUUUCAGCAGGGAAGAAGCGAAAGUGACGGUACCUGCAGAAGAAGCGCCGGCUAACUACGUGCCAGCAGCCGCGGUAAUACGUAGGGCGCAAGCGUUGUCCGGAAUUAUUGGGCGUAAAGAGCUCGUAGGCGGCUUGUCACGUCGGAUGUGAAAGCCCGGGGCUUAACCCCGGGUCUGCAUUCGAUACGGGCUAGCUAGAGUGUGGUAGGGGAGAUCGGAAUUCCUGGUGUAGCGGUGAAAUGCGCAGAUAUCAGGAGGAACACCGGUGGCGAAGGCGGAUCUCUGGGCCAUUACUGACGCUGAGGAGCGAAAGCGUGGGGAGCGAACAGGAUUAGAUACCCUGGUAGUCCACGCCGUAAACGUUGGGAACUAGGUGUUGGCGACAUUCCACGUCGUCGGUGCCGCAGC